GCCCCCGUGGCUCAGCGGUUAGAGCGGACGGCUGUUAACCGUCAGGUCACCAGUUCAAAUCUGGUCGGGGGCG
rnacentral:tRNA from 1 species